GGAGAAUUUUCAAAUAGUCUCAUCCCAUCAUAUUUUUCUUAUGUCAACUUUUCCAGAAGAUAAAAAAAAAAUAGAGCUUUCGACUUUCCUUCAGCAGUUAGAAGAGGAAAGAGAAAAUGGAGUUGGGGAACAAGGAAAGCACCACUAAGCAGGU
rnacentral:lncRNA from 1 species